CUAAGAGGCUGCUACCUAUCAUUUAAGUGACAGUAAUAUGUUUUCAACAUCUUUCUACUUCUCCCUCCACAAUCAUAUGUCUUAAAAUGGAGUUGUGAAAUUUGAUAACCUAAUAUUCAGGAUUCUAUUGAGGCAAGGAUAUGUAAUACGAGAUUUUACAAAGACAGCUACAAUCCAAGCAGCCUCUGUAUGAAUAACGUAAGUUGAACUCCAGCAGUGGGCUAGGCAGACAACAUUUGGAUGGUCUUAGCCUUAAUCCUGAGACCAGAACCCAAUUUGAUGCAGAAUCCAUUUGACUUAUUUGGUGCUGUUCAUUCACUGGUGUCAUUCUUCACCUUUUAAUACUAUGAAGGAGUGUUGUAGACUGGAGAAGAUUUGCCUACAUUCUAAAUAUUUAAUUGUGUCAGGAGCUUUGCAGAAAAUUCUGAAGUUAUUAUAUAUGUAUUUUCCUGAGUAAUGGUUAUCUUAGGUAGAGAAAUACUUCAUGCAAUUAUAAUAAUGCCCCAAAAGUUAAUUUUUUGGAAAAUAUAGCCUGUUCAGGAGGCAGCUCCCUGUGCUAGCAGCUGACAGAUCUGAAGGCGAUGCAGGUGUCUCCGGGAAAGGGAUUGAUCAUAGCUGAGUGCCUGGUAUCUUUGGUCAGGGAAAGAGACCACUUCACAGUCUAGGAUAUUCUCUUUGAUGCAUGACUAUAUGGUACACAGAGACCGAAAAGUACUGACAGCGCAGUGUGGUAGCUGGACAGAAGUUCUGCUUAUCCUUGAAGACCAACAGUUCACAAUCAUGGUAGAAGCAGCAGCAUAGAAGCCACUGGAAGAAUGGGGUUGGAGCUCUUUCAAUGACUUAUUCCCAGAGAAUUGUCUGGUGGUUUCCUGGAAGACCUCACUUGCAAGACUGCCUUUAUUUUCUCUGAUCAGAGUUUGCCACCAAUGCUUUUCCAAGUAUUUAAUGAGAAAAAAAUCAGAGGCAUUUGUGGCUGCCUGAAGUAAUAACCAUUGGCGCAAACCAC
ensembl:lncRNA